CGGGCGUGCGUGGACCUUGUCUCCUCUUCCCCGGGUCUGCGCUGAGGUGAUGGCGGCCGCCUCAGGGGCCGGAGGGCGAACGGCCGUCGCAGGGCGGCGCCUGAGGUUGCAGUGGAAACACUUACUACGGUAACAAUGUCCUAGCUUACUGAAAAAGGACCGUUUCCAGCUCUCAAACACGCUCUUACUCAAAAUAAACAUAGGUCAUCAGAAAUCAGCCGAGCAACCAUGCACCCUUACAUGAAAAGCAACCUGAGAAGUGGUAGCUUGUAAAAAUAACGAAUUUCUAGCAAAUAAAACUCGGGAACGGUGAGCGUAGGUCAUGGCCCAAGCAGCCCCUAAUCCUGUGCAUUGCGACGGGCUGGUUACACAGUGAGCAGCUAAAUGAGGGAAAAGUCUCCAGAAUUGGUUCUGUGGGGCCAAGGAUCCGGAUGUUCUCGGGGAAUGCGGGACAAACGUGGGGCGACGGGGAGGGCGGCGGGUGGCUGUUCCGUGCGGGACUGUUUCCCCAACACUUAACGCUGUGCAUUUACGUACAAUGGCUUAAACCGCAGUAGCUGCUUUAAGCUUUUUUUUUUUUUCCUUCCUUAAGAAAUGAA